rnacentral:lncRNA from 1 species
UGUUGUGGAUGUCCCUUGGAGGGACAGGUGCUGCAGGCCGAGUGCCGAUGCAGCUUCACCAGCGCCUGCCGGCCAACAGGGAGGAAGCAGAACACCCACCGUCCCUCUCUUGCCUGUGACCUGACCAGGGCGACCCCUGGAGAGACCUCGAGAAGGUCAGUCUGGAGACAGCUGCUUGUGACAGCUUCUCCCUCUGCUGCCGGAGUUCAGCGCCCACUUGACCAGCAGAGCAGGUGGAAUUGUGGCCUCCAAACGCACGGCCCCAGGACCUUAGCUCAGUCCUGUCUGGGACGAGGUGCGGUAAUAAACACACCUGCUGGCUCCUUGGGCCCCGUGGGAGGGGCUGUUGGACCUGACAGGUGCCGGGCCAGGGCUGCUGAGGCCCACGCCCCUCAUCCCCGCAGAGCCUGCAGCCCUCCUGCCCCGGCCCCCAGCCCCAGGUCUCCAGGUGUUCCCCUAACGAGUUCCUGCAUAUUUAAUUCUGCUCAGCCAAAGGACGGGCCAGACGGGGCCUUGAAAACGGAUGCUGCCUGGCAGCCAGGACGCAGGUGGAGCGAGUCCCUGUUAGAGCUCCUCCCUGCUGAGGGCAGCCUCGAAACAGCCACCACUCGGCCUCAGUGGCUGGUGUGUCCAGGAGGCAGGGACAGGAGUCGGGAGGCCUCUCUCCUCCUGGGCACCAGUUCCUGGCCCUGGUGGGGGCGGCAGAGGACCUGGUACCUGGACCUGCCACCCCUGCCUGGUUUGGCCCUUUGCUCCCCUGCCUUGCACUCACGGGGGAGAGGAGCCCCAGAGCCACCCGACCAGCGCCAGAGGGGUCAUUUUGGAGCCAGCUGUGCGACGCAGACUGGCAGGCCCAGCUCUGCRGGGGAGGAGCCGUGGGGCGCAGCCAGACUCCACCCUGGAGGCCAGCUCAGGCGCAGGGGGUACCCGCUUUUCUCCUUCCCAGUGGCCACAAGCCCAGGCCUCUCAGCCCUGCACCUCCCAGAACCCAGUGGCUGGGUUUCCACGCCCUGGCCAGCUGCCAGCCGGGCUGGCUCGGGGCACAAAGGCAGCUCUGUUGGGGAACCCGGGUGGAGGCCCAGCUGGCUCCAGAGGGGUCUGCCCCGACCAGCCUUGGCAGGAGAUCCUGGCAGCGUGGUGCCUCAGGAGCACCGAGGGCCAGGCCCUCAGAGCAGCAGAGUAGGAGGCCUGAGCUUGGCCCUCGCCUCCCUGGGAGCCCCGAGGUGGCAGCUCAGGAGGGACCCCCUGCCCGGCCCUACCGAGAGCUCCCCCAGGAGCACCUGGCUCUGA